rnacentral:rRNA from 1 species
GACGAACGCUGGCGGCGUGCUUAACACAUGCAAGUCGAACGAUGAAGCCGGAGCUUGCUCUGGUGAAUUAGUGGCGAACGGGUGAGUAACACGUGAGUAACCUGCCCUUGACUCUGGGAUAACUGCUAGAAAUGGUAGCUAAUACCGGAUACGACCCUCGGAGGCAUCUCCAGGGGGUGGAAAGAAUUUCGGUCAAGGAUGGACUCGCGGCCUAUCAGCUAGUUGGUGAGGUAACGGCUCACCAAGGCGACGACGGGUAGCCGGCCUGAGAGGGUGACCGGCCACACUGGGACUGAGACACGGCCCAGACUUCUACGGGAGGCAGUAGUGGGGAAUAUUGCACAAUGGGCGCAAGCCUGAUGCAGCAACGCCGCGUGAGGGAUGACGGCCUUCGGGUUGUAAACCUCUUUUAGUAGGGAAGAAGCGAAAGUGACGGUACCUGCAGAAAAAGCACCGGCUAACUACGUGCCAGCAGCCGCGGUAA